rnacentral:rRNA from 1 species
GGACCGCAUGCCCGUGACCGUGUGAAGCUUCCUUCGACGAGUCGAGUUGUUUGGGAAUGCAGCUCAAAAUGGGUGGUAAAUUUCAUCUAAAGCUAAAUACUGGCUGGAGACCGAUAGCGCACAAGUAGAGUGAUCGAAAGGUUAAAAGCACCUUGAAAAGGGAGUUAAAUAGCACGUGAAAUUGUUGAAAGGGAAGCGCUUGCAACCAGACUCGGCCGCAGAGGCUCAGCGGGCACGUGUGCCCGUGCACUCCUCUGUGGCCGGGCCAGCAUCAGUUCUGACGGCCGGUCAAAGGCCCCUGGAAUGUAUCCUCCUCCGGGAGGUCUUAUAGCCAGGGGUGCAAUGCGGCCAGUCGGGACUGAGGAACGCGCUUCGGCACGGAUGCUGGCGUAAUGGUUGUAAGCGACCCGUCUUGAAACACGGACCAAGGAGUCUAACAUCCACGCGAGUGUUAGGGUGUCAAACCCUUGCGCGCAGUGAAAGC